GCCGAUGUAGCUCAGUGGUAGAGCAGCGGUUUUGUAAACCGCCGGUCGCCGGUUCAAGUCCGGCCAUCGGCU
rnacentral:tRNA from 1 species